rnacentral:lncRNA from 1 species
UUCUUGGAGAAAUUAUUGGUGAAUUUCUUAACAUGACUAGAAGUGCCGACUUCCUUAGUCAAACAGCCCUCUCGGACUGCUUCAUCAAGUCGCAAGACCAUGUUUACCAUCUCGGUGAAAUCACUGGGUGCACUAGAGGUCAUGCGGUCAUACUAGAAUGAACUCAGAGUUUUCAAAAAUAUUUUAGUCAUCUCUUUCUCUUCA